rnacentral:misc_RNA from 1 species
AAGUCGUAACAAGGUUUCCGUAGGUGAACCUGCGGAAGGAUCAUUACAUGAAUUACGGGGGUAGGACCCAACGUAUGCGUACUCCGUGUGCCUUGACCUGCCCUGUCUGAUUAUUCUACCCAUGUCUUUUGCGUACUUAUUGUUUCCUCGGCAGGCUUGCUUGCCGCUAGGACAUUAUAAAAACCUUUUGUAAUUGCAGUCAGCGUCAGAAAUAACUUAAUAGUUACAACUUUCAACAACGGAUCUCUUGGUUCUG